UACGGAGGGUGCGAGCGUUGUCCGGAAUCACUGGGCGUAAAGGGCGCGUAGGCGGCCUGAUAAGUAGGGGGGUCGAAAUCCUGCGGCUUAACCGCAGGGCUGCCUUCUAAACUGUCAGGCUGGAGCACAGUAGAGGCAGGUGGAAUUCCCGGUGUAGCGGUGGAAUGCGUAGAGAUCGGGGAAGAACAUCAGUGGCGAAGGCGGCCUGCUGGGCUGUUGCUGACGCUGAGGCGCGACAGCGUGGGGAGCAAACAGG
rnacentral:rRNA from 1 species